GCCUCCGUGGCGCAAUUGGUUAGCGCGUUCGGCUGUUAACCGAAAGGUUGGUGGUUCAAGCCCACCUGGGGGCG
rnacentral:tRNA from 1 species